GAUUCUGGCUCAGGAUGAACGCUAGCGGCAGGCUUAACACAUGCAAGUCGAGGGGCAUCGGGAGUAGCAAUACUUGCCGGCGACCGGCGCAAGGGUGCGUAACGCGUGAGCAACAUGCCCGUAUCAGGGGGAUAAUCCAUGGAAACGUGGUCUAAUACCCCAUAGUAAUUAUGUAAGGCAUCUUAUAUAAUUUAAAGCUUUGGUGGAUACGGAUUGGCUCGCGUGACAUUAGCUGGAUGGUAAGGUAACGGCUUACCAUGGCUACGAUGUCUAGGGGUUCUGAGAGGAAGGUCCCCCACACUGGAACUGAGACACGGUCCAGACUCCUACGGGAGGCAGCAGUGAGGAAUAUUGGACAAUGGAUGGAAAUCUGAUCCAGCCAUGCCGCGUGCCAGGAAGACGGCCCUAUGGGUUGUAAACUGCUUUUGUAUGGGAGCAAUAAGGGCUACGUGUAGUCCGAUGAGAGUACCAUACGAAUAAGCACCGGCUAACUCCGUGCCAGCCGCCGC
rnacentral:rRNA from 1 species